rnacentral:rRNA from 1 species
UACGUAGGGUGCGAGCGUUAAUCGGAAUUACUGGGCGUAAAGUGUGCGCAGGCGGCCGAGCAAGUCGAGUGUGAAAGCCCCCGGGCUUAACCUGGGAACUGCGCUCGAAACUACUUGGCUGGAGUGUGGCAGAGGGAGGUGGAAUUCCGACGUGUAGCGGUGAAAUGCGUAGAGAUGUGGAGGACACCGAAUGGCGAAGGCAGCCUCCGUGGGCCAAC